rnacentral:rRNA from 1 species
CAGACGUUGUUUUGUGCGGUAAAGCGAAUGAUUAGCGCAUUCGGGGGCGUUUAGCCUUCGGGCGAUUCUCAAACUUUAAAUGCGCAAGGGUACCGGUGCUUUGGUGAGCGGUACCGAUAAAAACGUCGGCCUUGUGGGCCACUUUUGGUAAGCAGAACUGGCGAUACGGGAUGAACCGUAAGCAUGGUUAAGGCGCCAAAUUACCCGCUUAUAGAUCCCACAAAAGGUGUUGAUUCAUCGAGACAGCAGGACGGUGGCCAUGGAAGUCGGAAUCCGCCAAGGAGUGUGUAACAACUCACCUGCCGAAUGAAUUAGCCCUGAAAAUGGAUGGCGCUAAAGCGGGUAGCCGACACCAUGCCGUCUGUUUAAGUGAUAACAGAUGAGUAGGAGGGCGUGGUGGCCGUAUCGAAGCAUGCUUGCAAAAGCGUGUGGAACGGCCACUAGUGCAGAUCUUGGUGGUAGUAGCAAAUAUUCAAGCGAGAUCCUUGAAGGGCGAAGCGGUGAAGGGUUCCACGCGAACAUUGAUUGGGCGUGGGUGAGUCGUUCCUAAGCCGAGUGGCCAUUGCUAAAUACCGGCGAAAGGGAAGCGGGUUUAAAUUCCCGCACACGGAUGUGGAGCGGUGACGCUUUACUGAGGCGAAUACGCUGGCGGUGGCGCUGGGCAGAGAUGUCUUUUCUGUUUAACCAUUAUCAAGCAGUGUGGAAUCCGCUUGUCGGGAGAAACACGCUUGGGAGGGAAGAGCGCCGGGCUUUUUCCGGCGUCCAGCUCGCCACCRACGGCCCUUGAAAAUUUGCCUGCUGAUUAAAAUCCACGCCGUGGCGUACCGAUAACCGCAUCAGGUCCCCAAGGUGAACAGCCUCUGUCCAAUAUGAACAAUGCAGGUAAGGGAAGUCGGCAAAUUGGACCCGUAACUUUGGGAAAAGGGUUGGCUCUAGUGCUGCGUGGGAGUGGUUG